ensembl:antisense 1700087M22Rik RIKEN cDNA 1700087M22 gene
AGUGAUACUCACGCCCUCUAGCAGAGACACGGGAGGACCACAGGCUCCUAUCAGGGUCUGCUGUAGGAAUGCAUUCCAAUCAGACACUUUAUCUCUGAUGCCUAUGUAAGAGAAGAAAUGGUUAUUAUUCAUGUCAUAGAACACAAAGAAACUUGACAUACACAAAUGCUUACAGUUUUACAGGUGAAUAAAACAAUGGUUUCAGUC